UGCGUAAUUAUAUUUGCACUUCCAGAAGACUGCAUCAGAGUCCCCUUAUUGGUUUGAAAUUCCAUUAAAUAUAUUGCAAGAGCUCCUAGGUUAAGCUUGAUUUAAAUUUGCAUACAUUUUCAUAUAUUUAGCAGAAAUAAAAGAAGGCUUGCAGCUACCAGAAAGUCAUUAAGGCAUUAGUUUCUCUGAGAAGACAGAUCUGAAGAAAAUUCAAGAAAAUGAGAAAAUAGAUCUAAAUAAGGUGGAGUUGAAUACAAUGUGAUUAACUACAAGCAAUAUGUCGUGAAGAUGAUGGUAUUCAGACACAUACCCAAACAAUUUGAUUCAGAUAAAUUGGAUACAAGACUUUGACCAGCAUGAGAAGAACAGGUGGCUGAAGUGCUCCAAAAGGGAGAGUCUGAAGAUGGGAACCACCUCCAGGACUCUCCGUACCUGUGAAGCUGCCAGGGGGCAAAGGAGCUCCAGCUCCAGGGAUACCCAAGUGGUAGCACUUGUGGUUCAAUGUGGCAGCUGAAGACAAAGAACAGGUAUAAGUGUAAAGGCUCGACAGAAAUCUGUGUGAUCACGAGGGGGAUGAAGUGGAGUUUUAGAAGCAAAAUGCUCCUUCUGCAGAACUUCUGCCUUCCAGUUGUCUCUGUGUCUCUGGAGUGUUGUUGCCUUGUUCCGGUUAUUGAAUUUCCAUACCCUUGGGAAGAUGGAGCCCUGAAUUUCACCUGGAUCCUCUGCUCAUAGGCUGCACCCAUCCUGUGUGGAGGUUGAGCUCUGGCGCUGUGGAAGCAGGGAGCAUCCCAGACCCGUGGAGGAGCUCAGCAGGAGAAGAAUCAGUAGGGGAAAAUAGUCCUAAUGUUGUGUUGCUGCUGGUGGGUCAGGUGUGCCGAGGCAGUUUGGACAGAGGUCUGCGGCGCUCCAGCUCGUUGGAAACUUUUGUGCUCAGACCAGGAGGAUGCUACAGAUGGAGCUGAUCUGUGAGUAAGUUUUCUGGAGGCCGUUAUGUCUCCUACAGUUUUGGUUUGGUUUUUUUUUUUUUCUGAAGGAGCCCUUGCUCUGCCCGUGUCUGUGUGCGAGGGAGAGAGAGGAAGAGCAUCGCUCGAGGCUUUCACUCAUCACACUGCCUAAAUACCCCUUAUUUUUAGCUGGAGUCUUCUGAAUAUGAGAUCCCACUGCAGAGUUGCUCUGAUUUGAUUGGGAAAAAUGGAGGUACCUUGGAAUAUAGAAUUGUCGGAUGGAGCACCUUGGAGAGCGGUUCCUGCUGUGAGAUCCCUGGGACAAUGGGUCCAAUUUCAAAUCUGUGCCUCCACCAGUGUUGACACGGUGCAAUGAUGCAGCCGAGCUCUCAGAUGUCUGGCUCGAAGAGUUGUGAAAUGAUCAAGCAGACAAACCCAACCAUUUCAGCCUUGUCAAUCUAGUUCUCAGUGGACAGAUGCCCUGGUGCUGGAAAAGCAGCAUGCCCUGCAACACCUCUUGGCAGCGUGGAAAAAAGAGCCAGAGAUCUCCUAGACACGAAGCACGACCGGAUUCUCAGCUCAAAAAAUCGUGUUUGUGGCCCCGCUGGAGCUGCUGGCAGGAAUUGACUAAACUGUCUAAGGAAACAGGAGGCUUUGGGUUUCUGUUGGCACAGCAGCAGGGACAGCCCUGUCCUGACUGUCUAUGGUCAUGUCCCCUUGAAGGCCAUCACUGGAAGUCCCAUCCCAGGUGUCACAGCAGGGGAGGGGGAUGAGGCUUCAGUCUGCUCUGUCCACGCUGUCCCUGGGGAUGCCUUGGUAGGGACAGUUCCAACAAAGCCCAGCCUGGUGCAGCUGAACCCCCCCCCAGUGCACAAAACCUGGAAAUCUUGCAGGGCUAAGAACUUGCCAAGGGCAUCAACAGCAGUUUUCCCAGGCUUCAGCACAAGGAUUAUAUAGUCAAUCCACAGAUGACUCCAAUCUUUGAAGAAAAGGACAUGGUUAUCAGAGAGGCUUUCACGACAGCAAGGACUGGAGCACUAUCUGCCUUUUUCCAUCAGAGAUUCCCAAUUCCCUCUCAUUAACAUACUCAGGACAUCAGCACAGCCAUCAGUCCCAGGGAAUCACCUCAAACUUUUCAGGGAAUAUGCACAAGACCCUGGCCCUGUGUUAUUUCAAACAGAUCAAACCAGAUCUGCCUCGUGAAAGGGUUUUUCAAUGCCACCGAGGAUGCAGAGCUGAUCUGUGAUUGCUGCUGCUGCUGUAAGUGUGAAGGGAGGUGCCUCUACCUGCUCCUUCCCAGUGCCCUGUGAUGAAAAAUGCUUUUGGAGGAACACUGGAAACAAGCCAUCAAAAUAUCUGAUUAAACCUCUUAGGAAACUCUCACUAAUCACCUUCUCUGCUCUUGAUGGAGUGUAUUUAUGCAUUAUAAAUAUACUUACUAUGUGUGUGUGCUCCAUAAAUCACAUCCAGCUCUUGUAUAUGAUGUAUAAGCACAUUCUAUAGAACACACACAAAUACAGAUGCCAAACUCCCACAGAGUUCAUCACUGGAAAAAUGUUUGAAGGAUCUGAUCCUUAAUAUUUAAUGAGCAAGAUGCUAUUUCCUUCCUCAGCUUUUAUCUCUGGUUUGGCAUAGUCAUUAAAUUCGUUGUUUCCUUGCAGGAUUAUAUAAUUUAUGACCUAAUUUUAGACUUUUGUGUAACCGUGCUGGAACACCUCGUGGCGGAUCCGGAUUUCUCUGCACGGAGCGCUCCAGCAUCAGACACCAGCUCAAACAUGACUCCUGUGAGCUGCCCAUCAGCAAGGAGUUAGAGGCAUUAAAGGCAAACAGCCCAACAAUAUUCAGGCAGCAUUACAGGAUUAGACAGGGUUUAUUUUUUUUCCCCUGUAAAAAUCUGAUUUAGCAGCACUUGCCAAGCUGUGCUCAGCGGCUGCCAGGAAUCCCCAGGUACCACAGUCAGCACCCAGCAACUCCCAUUACUGAAAGUACUUUCAUGCAGCAGCUUCUGACUUUGAGACCCCUCUGGGAUGAAUUCAUUGCAGGGAGGGAUGGAGGAGGUGGGGAAGCAGGUGAAGAAUGACUUUAAAGGCACUGCCAGCCCCUCACCCUCUGGAAUUUUCCCCUCAGCACCAGCCUGGCUGCUGGGCUGAUCUUUUGCUGCACAAGGUGUUGCCAGAUAACUCCUAAAUGAAUUAUUCUAAAGCUGUAGCCGCAUUUUUUUGGUGUCUUCUGUGUGUCCAAGGUAAUUCAGUGGUGCUGUAAAUAGUACUGUGAGCUGCAGGUAUUUUGUCAAUUGAAACCACAUUGUUUGGACCAGCCCUUCAUCAAAUUUAAUCUGUUGCCUAUUGCAUUAAUGCAUUUUGAGAGCACUUUAUUCUGGUGUCCCAUAGGGAAGUGGCUUGUGCUUGAGGAGGGUCGAGAUGCUUCCUUUGUGCCUGCAGUGCAGUUAAACAGGAAUUUUUCCUGUUUUUCUACCUUACCCUGGGAUAUCCAACACGGAGGACAGAGCUGAGGGGCUGCAGCCUCAGAGCAGCACCUGGAGCUGUAGGAACCACGUCCCUGCAGCCCAGCACCUCCCUCUAACACAACAACUUCAUGCACAAGAUUGUUCCUGUGAUGUGUCAAGAAGUUUUAAUUCUCUGUCUCCUGUAUCUACUGCUCAUCUUCCUGCCUCAGUGCAGCUCCUGCUGUUCCCCUGCAGAGAGCACAGCCACGGGCUCUUCAGCAUCUCCUCAGGAAAAAAUGCCACACCUGGAGCUGGGGAAAGUGGGACCCAUCGGUGCCACCCGGAGGGGGCUGGCCUUGAUCAUCUUCAUCUCUCUUCCAUCCUUUUUUUUUUUUUUUUUUUUAACUGAAAUUAAAUCCUUCUGAACUUACAUUGCCUUGAAGGGUUUACCUGGCUCAGCAGGGGGCAGGUUUGGGAUGUUUCCCGCAGGUUUGGGAUCAUUCUGGACACAUUUGGAAGGUUUGUGAGCCUGGCACAGGUUGUCAGGCAGUGGGAUCUGCUCUGCACUCUGGGCACGGAACCCUAAAACCCCCCUCUUGAUUUCCACGUGUCAGGGGAGGGAGAAGAGUCAGAACAGUGCUAGGUCACGUUUCUGGAGGCUGUAAGUGCAAUAAUCCUAAUCAUUAACAGUUUCUGUAACAACACAGGUUACAGACACGGGACCAAACACCUGCAGGGAACCUCCUCAGGCGAAAUUCUCCUCGGCUUCAAUCAUGUUUUUCCGGAGAAGAGACCUCUGGCUGCGCUCAGGGCCAUCCGCCUGUUCCUGGCUGAAGAGCCUCUUCUAAUCUACUGCUAAGAGACUUAUUAGCAAUGUAAAAAGGAAUUUGAAGUAAGGAAAGUGUUCUUCCGAGCAGAAAUAUGUUUUGUAAAAUUAGAUUUGCUGACAGAAGUGAUUGGGCCAACUCCUCAUGACUGUGGAUGUUAUUUGUUGCCCCUUAUCUUACCAAGGCAAGGGGUACCAAAUAUUUUGAACUUUGUAAAUAAUUGUUUCCAAAGUGUUUUCUUUUUUUUUUCCCCUCUCUCUAAAUUCUUUAGAGAAAAGCUGGUUUGUUGGUUUCUAAUCUUUUCUCUUCCAAAGCUUUUGCAGCUCAGCCCCUUCCCACUCUAGAUAUCUUUUAUUUUCCCUCUUAGGAUUUUAAUAUUUGUUAGAUCUUGUAAAAAUCACUUUUGAGGGGAAAUGUAGAGCUUUUGCUCGAAUUGGAAAAGUCAUUCCUAGAGCUUUAGGAAAUGGUGAAAGAGAGAGAAUUAUCAAAUAGAAGAACUUUCUCCCCCAGUCUGACAGAGUCUGGGCUGUGGAGAUGUGCGUCCAAACCCUGACCAGUGCCCAGAGCAGGGUCCUGUCCAUUGGUCUGGCUGUUUUUUCUCACUCCAGAUUCCUGCCCAAGGGAUGGAUUAGCCCUUUGCUGGUUGCUCAUUCCUUCUGGGCUGAACCAGAGCCAGGACUUGUUCUUCCUUACACCACCAGUGCUCGCUGUCCCCUCUGGUGCCAAGCAGAGGGGCACUGUUUGCUUGUAAACACCAUUAUUUCUUAGUUUUGCAUCCACAGCAACAAAUAUUAAUGCAGAAAGAGGACACAAACUGUCCCAGCGUUUGUGCUAUUAAAGUCAUGUCAGAGCCUGCAGGAAACCCACACUUAUUUGCAUAAAGCCAGGCAGACUCAUGGUGUGGGAAAACUGAAACGCUGGAGAAGCAAGACGUGACUUUCUCCCUCGUCCUGGCAAAUUGAACAUGAAUUUUUUCCACUGUCUAUCUGCCAUCUAUCUGUUUCUUUACUCAUUUUGGCCAAAGACAAAAAUGAUGAGAAAUAUCUCUCUGUAAUGGACAGUUACCCCCUGUGGGGUCUCAGGUGUCACAGGUGGGUGAGGUUUGGGCAGAGCUGCAAGACCAGAGAAAUAAAGGACAGCUGCCUGUGCUCAUGUGGCCACUGGAGCAGGGGUGGGGGUUAAAUCCUGGUCUCCAGCCUCAGGCAGCAACACAAAGCAGGGACCAAAAAGCCCAGGAAUCUGUGGUGACUUCUGGAGCCACAGGAGUUCAGAGCAGAUCCCAAAGGAAGGAUCCUCGUUGAGCUGCCUUGUGUCAGUCUCAAACCAAGCACACAAGACCUGCAUGGGAUGUCUAGUCCAGGUGCAGCUGCUGUUGAGGAAUGCUGAUGUGUUCAUGCCAUGGUGCAGUUCCCCAGCUGUUGUCCAAUGCCAGCAGUGGGAGGGGAACAGUAAUUCCUGGGAAUUACAGUUUUUGAACACUUCCAGGGAUGGUGAUUUCACUUCUGCUCUGGGCAGCCUGUGCCAGGCCUCGACAACCCCUUCUGUGAUGAAAUUUUCCUAAUAUACAAUCUGAACCUCCCUUGGUCAACUUGAGGCCAUUUCAUCUCAUCCUGUCACUUGUUAUCUGGGAGAAGAGACCAACCCCCAGCUGAAAACACCCUCCUGUCAGGGGGUUGCAGAGAGUGAGAAGGGCCUCCCUGAGCCAGGCUGAGCCCCCUCAGCUGCUCCUGCUGCUCCAGCCCCUUCCCCAGCUCCAUUCCCUUCCUUGGGCAUCCUCCAACCCCUCAAAGUCCUCCUUGUCGUGAGGAGCCCGACACCGAACGCGGGGUUUGAGGCGCGGCUGGGAGUUAUUUUUUUCCCCCCUUAAAAAAAAAAACCCUAAACAAAUCCAUGAUUUUCACGAAGGCACCUUCCAGCAGAGCCCAAAUGGGAAUGUUUGUGUUCCGUACCAUCCAUCAACGCCGCAGGAGCGGCUCCUCCAGCUCCUCUUUGGUGGCCAGAAGGAGCUGUCAGGGAGCCGCUCGGCCGCGGCGCCGGGCAGGGUGGGAGCCGUGCUGGCACAGAUCCCUCUGCACAGGGGAUUUCUGCUCUGACAAUUUUUGGCUCCUUUAGGUUACUUUGUGGAGCUGCACGGAAUUUUUAAUGCUCUGCGCUCUCGCAGGGGCUGACAGCGAACUUAAAUACAGAUUGCAAGGAUAGAUCAUCUCCCGGCACCACUUUGUUUGCUGCUGCUCUAAAAUCAUUCUGCUUGUUCCUGCAGCUCCUGUAAAGCCAGAAGAGCUCUCUAUAUUUGCUUCCCGGAUGCCUUUUUCUCCUCUGCUUGCAACUAUAAAAGCAGCUUUUCAUGCUCCAAAUCAGAGAUAAAUUGAAAUCGCUGCCGAAGAAAUAAAACACGAGGCUAAUCAAAUUGUGGCACAGGAAACAGCCUUCAGCCAGUGCACUUUUUUUGAGAGCUAUUUUUAGACUAUAUUUUUAUUUUGUCACUCCAUAUGGGAAGUCAAACCCAUAUGGUUUGGGAGAAUGGAAGGUUGUGCUUUUAUAGAGAUCUCGCAAACCAUCCCAGCUCAGCCUUGUCCUUAAACAGGAGCUUAAAUCCAAUUGUCUGCCGUGGGACUGGAGCACUGAAAUGCUCAGGCCCUGCCUGAGGUUGUAGCAGCACAAUUCCCUCCUGAGGUGUAGAACUACUCUACAUUCGUUAAACCAGUCUCCAGUUAACUUGGCUCUCCUUAAUUAGGACUUUUGUCAUUUGUUCACCUUCUUUUUUUCCUUUUUCUUUUUGAUUUCUCCAUCCUUCCAAUGCCCUGACAGAUGAGGUUGGUCCAGUCCCAGCCAGGAUGCAAAGCUGAGCAUCCACAGCCAUCACUCUCCUGCUCUUUGGAGUAGAUGUUUGUGCCCUCCAAAUGCCCAGAUUAAUGGGAUUUCAGGGAAUACGACUUUUUUCUGCCCACAACACCGUGGCACCUUCUGAGUAUGUUGAUGAAUAAACACUUGGCUAGAAAAAUGUCCUGUCCUUCUGAUAAACUAAAUGUAUAAAAAUAGAAACAUGUUCUCGGUGUUCACCCACCAGAAUAUCUACUUUGCUUGAGUUAUAGGUUGCUCAUGACACUGAACCAAAAAUUAUGGGGUUUUUAAGGAAUUUUGUGGGAUGGUUAAAAACACUGACAGAAAGUUUCUAAGCUGGUAAAUUCCAGAGGAUCAUUUUAUGAAUUCUUUAAUUGUAAUCCUAGAGUUUCUUCCCUCUGCAGUUUCUCAGAAGGUGGAAUUAUAACAAAAAUGACAUAGCAAAAUGCAGCUGGAUGCUUUUACAGGUAAAAUAAAGAGCAGAGGCUCAGAAAUGUUGGGGACAGGGUUUAGUGGACAUUCAGCUGAAGGCUGGAUUUGAUGAUCUUGGAGGUCUUUCCCAACUUAAUGAUUCUGUGAUUUAAUGGUGUGAAUUACAGAGGCUCAGGGGAACAAAUACCCUGUGGAACUGUUCUGACUGAAGGAAAAGUCAUUUUCUGUGUUCCUUUUGAUUUCAGAGUUGCAUUUAACCUCAAUGUGGAAGGAGAAUUGAAAAAAGAGGAGGGUUUUGGCAGGUAAUAUUUUUCCACCUUAUUUUUUCCCUUAGGAAACAGUUCUCCCCCUUUUUGAGGGGAUAAAGUGCAAUGGGAAUAGGAUUGUUCAGUGGAGAAUUCCACGUGGCAGAAGGAUUGGCAGCUUGGAGACUUCUGAGAUGGUUUGGACGUCACUCCCAUCAAGUAGAAGAAACGUUAUGCUAAAAUUGUUCAUCAAAACUGAGACCUCAUAUGGAUUAUUUAUUGGAAUGUCCAGAAAACAACCACUCAGUUUUUUCCUAGAGCAGAGAUCUUGUGUUGGAGGAGCCAAUGUUAAAAUAGCCAAGCCCCAGAAGUGACUGAAAGGAAAAACCUGAGAUUAGAGCAGAGAGAAAUUAUCAAAAUUUGUAAAAGUGAUUUGAUGAAGACUUAUUUGUAUUUAAAAUCUGUGCUUGUUUUGAAAUCCAAAGGACUACUAUAAGUUAUUUUAUUGUCUCAGAGGAGCUCUAUAGCCAGGAAAGCCCCAUCACCUGUACCUCACAAAAAUACACUUUAUACCAUUCUGAAUCCCAAAAAACCAGUGAAACCCCUGGAAUUAUGAUGUUUGGGAUUAUAAGAAUUAGAUACAAGUAGUUGGGCUUUCCCAGGGAUUUUUAUUCUGGAAUACUUGAAUAACAGAACUUCUAGCCUAGGUUUUUGGGGGGUGUGUGAUGUGGGCACAGGAGCACUGUGAGAUGGAUUUGUGAUGUCACUGUGAUUCCUGGACAUCCCUUGGCAGCCAAGUGACUUCAGAGGGGCGGGAUUUUCAUCCCGGGCUGGGAGCAGCUGGUGGAGGUGAGGUGGAGCAAUUUCAAGUCAGUGAUACAGGAAGGAAAAAAUUCCUUGUCAUGUAACUGAUCUCAUCAGCAGCCCAGGAUUUCACUCUGGAUUUUCUCCUGAGUUUCCAUUCACAGCACUAAUAUAUAGAUAAUAUGUUAAGGCACAAUCCUUAAAAAAGGAAAGAUAUCAUUUCUUUAUGAUAUGGGCAAUUUGUAGAAGACAUUUGUGUAAUUUUGCAUUCUAAAUGUGAUUUAUAUUUAUAAAUAAA